ensembl:lncRNA
AAGCACAAAGAGGCACCAAGGCAGUGUGCUUUCACUAGUGUUGAGACUUCAAACCACAAUGAACAUUAUCCUUUUAUACAAGAAGCAUCUUAUCAAAGGUCUGAUGUAUCUCAAGGUGCAAGGAGAAGGAAGCUUAGCUUCAGUUACCUUGAGCGCCAGGAUGGACAGGACUGUCCGAGCACCAGUUCCCUAUCUUCGGGUCAGAGUUCCAAGUCUGAAACUGAUCAAGAAAGACCCACUUUUGGACAUGGAAAAGCAGCGGGUGAAAGUCAGACCUGGAACCCAGUGGUUUUAAAACAUAGUGGGAGUGGAGCGAUCGGUUGGAGGGAAGAUGAUUCUUGCUCCAGACAAGGCAGUUUUGAAAAGGCAGAGUGCUGUACAGGUGGAGUGGACAGCUGGGACCGAUCAAGAGCUGUAAGUACUUGUAUGAUGGGCACCUCGGAUCAAAUAUCCAUCGUAUCUGGUAAACACUACAACUCUCCUGUUAGCAAUAGAGGAGAUUGGAAGCUGUAUGAUGCAGAAAUGCUGCCUGAAGAGCCUGGUUUGGGCUGCAAUAAUUGCAAUGCAGAUGGUAAAUAUCAUCAGAGCUCUGUUUAUCAGAAUCAUGGGUCUUCUUGUGAAAAUUGCAUAGUUCCAUUUAAAAGUGAGUCAACAGAAAGUGUGAUUGUUGAGCCAUCCAGAAAACUUCUAUAUGAAGGUACAUCACUCUGUAAUCAAAAUGUCCUUGAUUGGAAGCCAGGCUCUGCUGACGACAGUAAUGUGGCGUUUAAAGUAAAAAAGUUUGGUAGAGCAGUUCUUGAUUUCAAAACUGCCUUGCGAGGAGCUCUGAUGAAGAUGGAUGGAGCUAGUGCUACUAUGCCUGGUGAAAGGGUCGAAGUCCUUCUGCAGAUCUCCCCGUGUGAGGAACCACAAGGAAUGGUAAAUACCGAGACACCAAAUUUAGACAUUAUUCAAAUAGAGAUGGAGACUACACGAAUAGAAACCUAUUAUUCUGAGCAGCCUCAAGCCAUCGGUACAGAGAAAAGUUUAGUUGAGAUACCUCAAUGCAUCUCCACCAAAGCAAAACCUGAAUCGCCUGAACAUUCAGAACAUCCAAAUUCUCCAGGGUUGGACUCCUCCACCAGUAAUGCAUCAGAUGCUCCAUCUGGACAUCCAACCAAUGCUCAUUUACAACAGUGUUUCUCUACAGACAUUAUCCCAGACUCUUUUUCCCCCGAGGAACUAGCAGUAGAAGACGAGCAAAGAACACUAGCGGGGGAAACGCAGCCUCCCACCGAGUCCUCUACAGAAGGAGGUAGUGAAGCAGAGCUUAGUCAGCGGGAUGCACGUCGUCUGAAGUGCCUCAGGAGUUUCCAGCAGAUUCUAAGGGACAAGAGAGAGUCCAGAAGACAACUCA